CAAACUCGGUCAUUUAGAGGAAGUAAAAGUCGUAACAAGGUUUCCGUAGGUGAACCUGCGGAAGGAUCAUUACCGAGUGAGGGCCCUCUGGGUCCAACCUCCCACCCGUGUUUAUCGUACCUUGUUGCUUCGGCGGGCCCGCCUCACGGCCGCCGGGGGGCAUCCGCCCCCGGGCCCGCGCCCGCCGAAGACACACAAACGAACUCUUGUCUGAAGAUUGCAGUCUGAGUACUUGACUAAAUCAGUUAAAACUUUCAACAACGGAUCUCUUGGUUCCGGCAUCGAUGAAGAACGCAGCGAAAUGCGAUAAGUAAUGUGAAUUGCAGAAUUCAGUGAGUCAUCGAGUCUUUGAACGCACAUUGCGCCCCCUGGUAUUCCGGGGGGCAUGCCUGUCCGAGCGUCAUUGCUGCCCUCAAGCACGGCUUGUGUGUUGGGCUCUCGCCCCCCGCUUCCGGGGGGCGGGCCCGAAAGGCAGCGGCGGCACCGCGUCCGGUCCUCGAGCGUAUGGGGCUUCGUCACCCGCUCUGUAGGCCCGGCCGGCGCCCGCCGGCGAACACCAUCAAUCUUAACCAGGUUGACCUCGGAUCAGGUAGGGAUACCCGCUGAACUUAAGCAUAU
rnacentral:rRNA from 1 species